UAAAAACCUUUAAUAAAAAUAGACAGCGCCCGGUUAAAUUACCGUUGUAAAACGUAAAUAUUACGCGAAACAUUCACCUCCAGCGCCAAUACAUAAAACUCCUCCUCAUCGAAAAUUUUGAUCACAAGUUCAGAACCCUAAUUCUUCAAUUUUUCUCGUCUUUUUGUCUAAACCCUAGAAUUUCUUAUAUAUAUACUCUAACCUAAUCAUUGUUUAUGUUUUUCUUCCCCCUGUUAGUCUAAAUUCUUCCUCAAUUUCUUCAAUUUGGGGAAUAAUUAUGCAUUUAUCAUCAAUUUGCCUGUUUGAGGCAGAUUAAGGCUUUGAGACGACAACUGACUGAAUCAGAGCUUCGGAACUAAUUUUUCCUCAAGUGAAGAUGUCGAUCUAUAAAUUUCACUUCACUUCGGGAAAAAGUAGAUUCGUAACUGUAAUGUAAUGCAAAGGUUUUGACGAAGGCUGAUUUUAUGGUGGUGAAAGAAGAAGCAGAGUUUAUUAUCUGAAUUGGGCUUAAUUUUGCGGGGAUUACCUUUUGUGGGGAUUAUCUGAAGACGAAGGCUGAUUUAGGGUUUAGAAUUAUGUUUUUUGUACCUUUUGAUGUUUAGUUGAGUUGUUAAUUUUAAUAUGUUGUUAAUUUCUAUUUAUUAUCUGAAAUUCUGAAUUGAGCUUAAAUUUUGUGGGGAUUACUUAUGUGGAUUUUGCUUAAAUUUUCAAGCUCUCUAUGUUUUUUGUACAAGAGAAUCUUGUACACUAGGUGUACAUGUAGCCUUUUCCACUUAUGUGUUUGAAAAUCGUCUUGUUAUUUGUGUGCUUGGAAUGACGAUGUUAUUAAAGACCUUGUCUUUUUGGUUGAGAGUACUAUUUUGGAAAUUGUGAAAUAGGAAGCCUGUUGAGUGAGUAGGUAGAUGUUGGUUUUUUUCCCUUUUAGGUCAUGUUUAUGACUUUGAAGUGUAUUCUGAUAAGUGUUAGAGUAGUCUUUAAGAAUGGUGAGUUUUUGUUGUUGGGAAUUGUCCCACAUUGAUAGAAUGGAGAUGUAAAGAGUUGUUUAUUAGUAGACCACCUCUUAUGUUUGAAUAGAAGUGGGCCUACUAGCUGGGCUAGUGUGUGCUUUGGGCUUGGGAGCUCUUUUAUAUUACUAACUGUUCUCAUUAAUAUCUAUCUUCCUCUCUAUCUCAGUGGAGAUUUUCUACUGUUUGAAGUGGAAUUUGAUGGUUAUGACCAUUAUCGAAACAUAGUGGCAGGUCACAUGACCAUAAAUCGUACUUUGAGUAAUCUUUUAAAACUGUCUUUCAUAUUAGACAACUUUUGAAAGGAAAACAGGAAGUUAAGUUUGUUUUGAUGGUUGUUAGUGUGUGUUUGAUCUUUAGGUUUAAAUGACGAGAAAUGUUGACUUAUUUUGUGAAUUGAUGGUGUUUUGAGGUUCUAGGUUUUGUGUGGUUUAUGGAAAAUUAUAAUUUGAACAUUGAAGUCAUUCUUGGAGUAUAUCUUUUUAGAUGUCAUUUAUUUUAGGAAACUUUUGAGAGAAACAUGGAAAGUUCAUUUUUUAAUUUUUGAUGGCUUUUAUCGUGUGUGACACUUGGGUCUAAAUGAUGAGAGGGUAUACUUAAUGAAAGAAUGUUAUACAGAGUAUAUAAUUUUAGUAAAGGGGUGUGUGAUACCUUAAUAUUUGAGAUCUUUUUAAUAGAAUGAAUUAAUGAACAAACGAUUGAGGUGUAUAGUAAAUUGAGGAUAUUAGCCUGGAAGGAUUUUUUUUUUAGUUAAGGCUUACAACUUGUUGUAUACUCUGUAUUUCAAGUAAUAUGCUAUAUUUAUAGGAUUGAGAGGAAACCUAUGGUGUAAAUUAUUCGGCUUUUAAGGGGAAUUCAUGGCUGCCGAAUUGUGUGUUCUAGAGAUAUUAGGAGAAGUGUUUUACUGAUUAAUGGAACUUGGGUCACUAAUCUUAUGUGUUUUUAAGGCGGUGAGCUGUAGGCUUUUUACAUCUUUGGAUUGAUUUGAUUCGAGGUUUCAGUUCUGGCAUGAAAUAUAUUGGAGUUGCCACUUAUAUUAUAUGAAUUAUAAUUUUUGAGGAUACAUUUCUAUUGUGAGAUUAGUUUGGAUAUUGAUAGUUUAGGGGCUGUGUUUUUAUUUUUGUGGUCUAAGGAAAGUUCUGUUUAGAAAAUUGAUAUCAUACUUUCGAGUAAUCAUGUUAGGGCUAUGUUUGAUAGUAGCCAACAUUCAAAAGGAACAUGGGAAGUUAAGUUUAUUUGUUACGAUGAGUGUUAGUUAGUGUCCAUGUGGGGUUUUUGGGUUCAAGUGAUAAGACGUGCUAACUUAUUUUGUGAAUAGAUGGUGUUUUGAGGUUACAGGGGUUGUGCGUAUUUGUGGUUUAUGGAAAGUCUUAUUUUGAUUAUUAAAAUCCUACUUGGAGUAAAUGUUGUGAGUCAUAUAUUAUAUUGGGCAACUUUUGACAGGAAUAGAAAAAUUCUAUAUUUUUUGAUGGUUAAAAAGAUGCGACUAUGCGAAGUGUGUACUUAAGGAAGGAAUGUCAUAUUGGGAACAGAAUAUAAUGGAGUGUUUGUCAUACAUGAAUCUGUGGGAUAUUUUUAACGGAAUGAGAUGACGACUUAGAACAUAAAUUAAUGAAGUUGCAUAGCAAUUUGAGACUUUUUUCUGGAUGGCUUUAUAAGUCUUUACUCUUUAGUUAUAUUUAAUAAGUUAGUUAUGUGAAAGUAACAUUCUAUGUUAAAGGUUUGAGUGGAACAAGCUUGUUAUAGACUAACUGAAUUCUCAGGCUGAAUCUAGGUCUAGGUUGCUGAGUUUUGGUGUUCUAAAAGUUGCAGUGGAAUUUUUUUCCUGAGACUAAGGGAAUCCUGGCUGCUAACUGUUGUGUGUUCUGAUGGUGAUAUGGACAGUGGUUGAGUUAUGUUCGUUAAUUUCAGUUUAUUUUCUUAAGUGUGUUUAAAUUUUCCGAGGAUAACUUAUCCAUGUCUGCAAUUUUUGUCUUGUUAUUUUUUUGUUUGAAAUGACGAUGUUAUAAAGAUGUCUUUUUUGUUGAAUAUUUUCUGAAAAUUCUUAAUAGGGUACAUUUAUUUUAUGAGAGUAGUUAGUGCUAUUGAGGUUGUAGGGGCUAUGUUUAUUUUAUGUUUUCUGAAAAGUUACUUUUUCGAAAUUGAAAUCAUACUUGAAAUAAAUCUUGAGAUACGUCAUUUAUAUGAGACAACCUUAAUGGGAAUAUCGAAAGUCAAGUUCGUUAUGAUUUUAUGGUUUUUUUUUUAUUGUGUCUGAUCUUUGGGUCUAAAUGACUAGAGGUGUGUAGUGAGAGGGAAUUUUAUGUUAAGAACAUAGUAAAACGGAGGUGUUUAAGGUACCCUAACUGAUAAAUAGGUGCUCAAGCUGAAAGCCUUGUAGAGUAAGUUGGGAAUUUUUUUCCUGGAAGUUUUUAUAGGUUUUACUGUUUAGUUAUAAUGUAUAAGUUGUUAAUUGUGCAAAGUAAUGUGCUAUUUUAAAGGUUUGAGUGGAAAAAGCUUGUUGUAGACUAGCCGACUUCUAAAGGGAAUGUGGGUUGAUAAGUUUUGUUUGCUGUAAAGGGUAUAAGUGGAAGAACUUUGAGGAAUAAAGGGAAUCCAAAUUGCUAAGUAUUAUGUGUUCUGAUGCUAAGUAUAAGUAUUAGGAAAAUAGAAUAAAAUACAUUAUAUGGUGAAAGUUAACAAAAUAAUUUAUUGAUUUCUUCUCUAUUAGUAUAAUAUACAUAGAUUCCUCAUCUCCUUCCUCCUCUUAAAACCCUAAAGUCUCCCCCCCACCACUAGGCCUGUGCAAAAAUUGGUCCGGACCGAAAAAUUAGGCCGGACCAGACUGGACCAGACCAGACCGAUUUUUUUCGGUCCGGUCUUCCAAAAUGAAAAAUCGGGUUUCCGUCCGGCCCGCUCCAAACCCGAAAAAAACGGACCGGACCGAAAACCGGUUUUAAAAUUAAAAUUUUUUUUGAAAAAUUAAUGACGGUGUUAUGAAAUAUUGUGUGGAUGCCCAUUAAACCCCUAGUAUAUUUUCGGAAUAUUCUAGAUCUUAGGGUUUAUUGUUCCCCAAGCGAACCAUAUUCUAUUGUAUGUAUAUAUACCCCAUUAUUCAUGGAAUAAGAUACACAAUUAUUCUCUCCCAAUUUACUCUCCUUCUUUAUUUCACAACACGUUAUUAGCACCAUCCCUAACCGACUGAGCAAGAGGAAUAAUCAUCAUCGAGAUAAGUAUUAAAUUUGGGAUUUAGUUCCUUUAAUUAUUAUGGUUUUUGAAUAGUGAUUUAUUACUAUUUGAGCAUGCGAUUGUUUGUAUCGACUUAUUUGGACUUUUCAAUUAUAUGUUGCGGAUUGCGGCAAUUUCAUAGUUGUCGAUCUUUAUUACUUUGUUAGUAUUGAUAUUUAUGUGCUUCUAUACAUUGAAUAUGCUAUUAAAGUUCCGAUUUGUUUUAUGAUGACUAAGGAAUCGUGUUUUACAUGACAAAGUCAAAUCCUUAAAUCAUAUUAGGGUUAUGAUGAUGUUAAUAAUACAUACUAUUUUGUUAGGGCUUAAUCUGACCAUUAUAGCUGUAAUUUCUUUUCCUUUUAAGCCAUGAAUAAUAAAGAAUAAAAGCCGGCAACGUGUGCUUCACUAUAUUCUAAUACAUAUGCAGUAUGAUUUUACAUGCUCCCGUAAUUCCAUGAAUUGCAAUGUUUUGGAAAUUUUAUUACGAGUUUCGUGAAUUACAAUAAUUGCACGAUUUACUAUGAUUUCUAGUUUAUUUAUGUGACUAUCAGUCUAUUAAUUGCUAAGUUUAGACUCUGUGACUAAAAGCAUUGUCAGUUAGGCACUUUGUAUAUGUAUGUAUAUGCACACGGCACACCACUACUGCAAUUUUCCUUUGGAGUGGAUAGCAAGUCCUUAUAUAUGUUUUAUGCCCAGAAUAUGUAUGUUUAAUGUAAAGUUUUGUUAUCCGACACCUAAAGCAUUCACUAAACAAUAAUUUACAGCCUAUUAUAUGGAUUAUUUAAAGAAAUUGUUGUUGGAUAUCACUCGUUCAUCUCAUGUAUUGCUUCCAUUAGUUUACUCGUAUUCUAUUACGAAACUAUUCGAAGUUGAUUAGAGAUACUUGUGUGCGGAAUAAAAAGCCUAAGUUGUUAACUAAGUUUAAACGAAUACACUUGUAUUGCAACAAUGUAUAGUGAAUAAUAUUAUUCCAAGGUAUAAUGAAUAAUGUUUGGUGGCAAUGAUUAAUUGAUUACGUAUAUAACUUUUGAAGAGCAUGCUUAGAGCUUGAUUUAUAUAUGAUUAUUAUCUAUUAGGUUCGUAUUUGAAAUAUUCUCUUGUAUGAUGAACUAUAUGAAAAUUGAAAAUCAUGGAUUUCUUUUCUCCUAGUAUUAUCUUGGUGUAUAUAUUAUCUUGGUGGUUAGACAUUGGACAUCAAAACCACAUAGGGAUUAAAGGUUUGGUUGAUACGAUCAAAGAGAGAAAAAAAAAGGGUAAAAUACGACCAAGGCUAUGAUAUUACCUGAAUCUCAUAACUACUAGUUACAUCUAAGAUUACGGUCAUAUAUGAGGUGGUUCUCUCAAUAACUCAUAUUCCUACCAGAAGUGGGACAUAUUCCUACCAGAAGUAGGACAAAGAUAAUAACAAACAAAAGAAAGAUAAAAUGAGAAUGUGACCAAUGUAUGUUACCGCUGUGGAGGAAAAGGGCAUUGGUCUAUGGAAACAAGGGAAGAAUUUAUAAUAGAAUUUACUAUAUAAUAUUAAAAUUUUUAAAUAUGUGGUCUUGCUCUUCUUUGAAGAAAAUUUAUCAAGGGUGUUAUAGAUUGAAAUGCAAAUAUAUCCUUGACUUUUGUUACAAGUUGAAAUAGGUUCACGACUUAAGUCUUAUACUUUUGACCAUUAAAGGCCUGCAUACCUUUUGGAGAAGUACAAGAAAAUUGACCUAGAUAACUAUAAUAGUUUUUAAAUCGUGUUGUCAAGAUACCCUAUAUUUCUUUCAUGAAACUAGUGUGGUCCUGCAGACACGAUAAUUUUGAGAAAGAUAGUUCAUAUAUUGUCUUUUGCUGGAUGAACAAAAUACCGAAAUCCUGAAGAAAAAUAUUAUUCUCACAUUCAACUAGGUAAACCAUUCCCAGAAGUAAAUGAGAAAUGUAUGAAUAAAAAUGGUAAAGAUAAUGUCAAUAGUCAUGAUCGAGAUCGAAUGUGAAAGUAAAACAUAGUAUAAUCAUGGCGGAAUAAAUGAGUAUGAAUGCAAUUUUAAAAUACACCAGAAGUGAGAUUGUAAAUGAUAUGAAAAUCAGGUAAAAGUUAAUGAUGAGAAAACUCAAACUUUAUAUUUUUGGUUGUUUGCGGAGAAAAUAUUAAAUAAAAGUUGGGCCCAUUACACCAAAACAUCUUGUUGAGCUUUAUUAGUACUCAUCACAAGGGAAUAAAUUAAAGAUAAACAUGGUGUAUGAAGAUAAUGAAAACAUAUGUCUAAUAGACAUUGUAGCACGCUCUCCGAACCAAAUUUAUAUACAUGCAAGGAUAAGGGGGAGAUAGCUCUCAACAUAAUAAAAUUAGCAGUAUAUGAUCAGGAUUAUAAUACAAUAUGUUAAACUUGGUACAAAUAUUUGAUCAUGUUUUAUUGACUCGCUCUAUGAGCAUGAGUACUAUACUACAUUCUAAAGAUGUAUAGUUUUGUGAUAUGUACCAAAGUUGUAAUGGAUACUCUUGAAGAGUACAAGCUAUCUUCCAUAAGUUUUGUUUAGAUUGUCUUGCUGUUAAAAUUGAGACACCAGUUUGUGUCGUUAUAUCACAUCACCAUAUGUUCAAAUUAUAGUAUUUUAUAAUUACAGUGAUCACUUUGAGAAGAUAACCAGCAGUUUAUAAUACUUUAUAUGAUAUUAUAUACGCAUGAUGUGAUAAUUCAGGCCAUCCGGGUUAAAGAACACCCGUUAUGAAAAUUUGAAAAUUCUUGUCAAAUAAAAUUUUAUGUGCUGAUACUCCCUCGUAUGUUGUAUAUAUUCAAAGGCAGGACAAAAUGAUGAGGUUGAGUUGUAUUUCAAUCGAAUAGUUAUAAUGAAUCGAUUGAGAAAAUAAAUACAAGAGAUAUUAAUGAUUUUGAAAAAUUGUAUAAUGAUAGGUGAUUUAAAGUUCACCAUGAUAGUAAGUGACCCGAAGUUCACCAGAAUGGUAGUAGGUGACUUGAAGAUCACCAAUAAGUUUACAAGUGUUUUGUGAUUGAUUUAAGUAUCAUAAAUAAGCAUCAUAAAUCUCUUGAUUGGGGCAAUCAUAAGUCAGCACGAAAAGAGAAAAUAUGAAGAAAACAACUGCAUAUUAUAUCUACUCCCCAUAAUCAAUGUUGAUCUCCAGAAGAGAACAAAAGUAUGUAAUAUUUAUCAAAAUACACGUUGAAAAGUGUAUUAUUUAGUUGGUGAAAUUUUUUUAUGCCCCAUAACAUAUUGAAAAUAUUUUCCCAACUUAGGGGGAGACGAGCAAAAAAAUAAGUUGGCAAAAUUGAAAGAUAAUAAAUUGAUCCCCAUAUGAGUAAGUGUACAUGCCAACUUAAUUUAUGUCCUCGAAGUAUGUAUGGACAUAAAUAUCUAUGACUUAAUUAUGUUAAGUUUUAUAAUGUCUAGAGACAUAAAUGUAUAUGAUAGUCAUAGUGCUCGAUGUUACAUAUAUUAAGUGUUGAGAAUUGUAUAUCUUGCCAAUAGUUAUUUAAAUGUAUACACCUGAAGUGUAGAUUACAUAUACGGUUCCAACAUAGUGCAAAAUAAAUUUAUUUAUAUAAAAAGGGCAAGAUAGUGCAGUUGAUGAUAUUUUUGAAAAUAAAAGAAAACACUAUUAAUUAUAUAGUGUAUGAAAUACCCUUAAAGUGGUAUAAAUAUUUGAACAAUGAUAUAUGGCCCGUGAGAAAAAUGAAUGGUACCUAUUGAAUAAGUAUUUAUAUCAUUGAUAAAUAGCAUGCAAAGUAUAUAUUGAAGAAUUUUGAUGAUACCGGUAGAUGAUUGAACCGAAAUAUAAUGCAUAUGCGAGAAAUAAUGAAUUUUGAAUAGGGGAUCGUAAAUCUAUGUCUGUUUCGAUGUAGACAUAACUAUAAUGAUCAAAUGAGCUCAUGGACCUGAAGUCCAACAAGUUAUGGAUUUGAAAUAUCCACACUGUACAGUGUUUUGCAUUUGACUCUUACAUUCAUAUACAUGUGUAGUUAAUAGGUAAAUGCAUCAUUUAUCAUACAUUUAGUUUGUUUUAUGUUUUAUCAUGGUAUGAUUUGUAUUUAUUCAGUUAUAAUUUCAUAUUACAUGUUUCAAAAAUAUUAUUAUGUCGUGUAUGAAUAUGCAUCCAAAGAAUGGUAAGACAGAUUUGCAACUUUAUGAAAUAUUUAUAAGUGGAGAUUCUUACUUCAUUGGCCUAAUAGUAGUGAAAGAAUUAUAUAUAUAAUGUUGAUUUAAUAGCAUGUUAUGAAUCAUGCAAAUAAGAAGAGUUCCUGAAGAACUAUACAUGAUGUUCUUAAACAUCUAGCCCUUUUAAGUUUUGCACAUGAAUAUACAACAUUGAUAAGAUAUUAUCAAAACUCUAAAAGAGUAUUUUAAAAAUGUCUUCUCAACCAGUAGUUUGAGUAUUUGAGAGUUUUGAAAUAAACAUAUUAAUUUAUUCAUGAAAUGAAAUGAAUUCUUGUACAAAUAUGAAUCAUCUUAAAUAUAUAAGAUACAAUUAUGUAAUGUCCUUCCAAUGGAUAUUAUGUUAUGGUCCGGAAGAACCAUAAGUAAUGUUAUUAGCUAUAUUAUACUUCCAAGUUGGACGAUGAUAUUGUUAUUUAUCAUGUAUUUCCAUGAAAGUAUAUGACCAAAGAAAGUUUGAUCAUUAUUGAUUGAAAACUACCAUUUAUGACCUUCAGAAGAAGGUACAUACAUGUCAAAUAUGUAUGGAAAAGUUUUGUAAUAUCAUGUACAAGAAAAUUUAUUUAUCUUAGGAGAAGUUAAAGUAUUAUUAGAUUAUGCAUUUGGGAAAUUCGAAAACAAAUGUAUCGAAUGAGAUAGAGGAGCGCACAUGAUCUUACAGGUAUUAUUUUCAAAAACAUUGGUGAUAUAAAUAUUCACCUCAUCUGUUCAAGGGGGAAUUGAAGAUUCAAGUUAAGCUUUGGACACUCAAUUUUCAAGGAACUCCAUGCUACUACAUUUGAGAAGCUAUUGAACAAUAUUUGAUAGAUUGCACAAGAAGAUCUCAAUUGAUGUAUUUAUCAGGGGGAGAAAUACGCGUUGCACUCUUUUUCCCUUAACCAAGGUUUUGUCCCACUGGGUUUUUCUGGUAAGGUUUUUAACGAGGCAACAUCUCAAGCGUAUUAUGAAGAAUGAUGGACUCUUUUUCCUUCACUAGGUUUUUAUCCCACAGGGUUUUCCUAGUAAGGUUUUAACGAGGCAUAGUCUUCAAUAAUGGACAUCCAAGGGGGAGUGUUAUGAAAUAUUGUGUGGAUGUCCAUUAUACCCCUAGUAUAUUUCCGGAAUAUUCUAGAUCUUAGGGUUUAUUGUUCCCCAAGCGAACCGUAUUCUAUUGUAUGUAUAUAUACCCCAUUAUUCAUGGAAUAAGAUACACAAUUGUUCUCUCCCAAUAUCCUCUCCUUCUUUAUUUCACAACAGACGGUGAAUUGUUGCCUGCAUAUUGCGGGCUUGAGGGCUUGCGGUUAUUAAAAAGAUUUUAAGCGCUUAAAAGUUAAAACUGCAAUCACUUCAUAACUCUAACUCUCCACGCUAUUCAUCUUCUUCUCUGCCUCUCUGCCGGUUGGUAUUUACAGAUGAUCGUCAAUUUGUUAGUCAAUUUCAUCUCAAUUCCUUAAAAGUGAAUCAUGUCAGUCAAUAAUGGACCUUGGACGGAGCAAGGCAAUGAAUUUAUCCGGUGGAUCCCCCAGCCGAUGAUCCCCGUCACUCUUAUUUUGGACCGAAUUACGGUAACCUUGUGCCAUAUUAUGGUAAUUCUAGUCACACUUAUACUCCAACGUAUGGACUUGAUUAUUUGUGGAUUGACUUGAAUAAUUAUAGCCCUCCUUACAUCCUUGAUCAUUACGGCUAUGCUUAUCCAAGUCGUGCAUGCAAAUCAGUAGGGAUGUCAGUGGGGCGGGUUUCGCGGGAGACCCGCCCCGCAUCCGUCCCAAGUAGGCAGGGAUGGAGGUAGGUUUGGCGGGUGAUGGAUCGGGGAUGGGUAUAAAAAUCGUACCCGUCAUGGGUGAUGGGACGGGUGUGGAUUUUGUGUUGAACCCGCUCCAUCCCCGCCCGCCCCGCCCCAUCCCCACUCGCCCCGCUUCAUACCCGCCAUGGGUGAUGGGGUGAGUUUGGAUUUAUUUGCAUCUUUAGGUGAUAAUAUAAAUUUAGGUGAGAUUUUUAUGUUUUUUGUUUGGAUUUUUAUGUUAUGACGAGUAUUUUUCCGAUUAUAUAGGUUACUUUAGUUAUAAGGUUUUUUUUUUUUCUAUAGUUAACUUUGAUUACUCCGUAUAUAUGGAAAAUGUUUGCUAAAUAAGAAAAAUUAGGCGGGUAUUAGCGCGGGGAUAAGACGGGGAUGGAUACCCAGUUGGGUGGCGGGGCGGGGAUGGAUUUUAGCUUACACCCGUUGGACGGGGAUGGGGAUGGAUUUUGUACCCGCCAUGAGUGAUGGGCCGGGGAUGGGGAUGAAAAUUUUAGGUGGGGAUGGGGAUGGAGGGACCUACAUCCGCAUCCACCCCGCCCUAUUGACAUCCCUACAAAUCAGUUAUCAAGUCUGGUACUCAACUUGCUGCUAUUGAGUCGACUUUAAAAUUGGUUACUUGGAAUGAGGAUGAUAUUAUAAAUAUUGUGGUAGAUUGGGUUAAUCUGCCAAAAGAGUUAGUUACUAAGAUUGCGGAACAUUUGGAACUUUAUGAAGACUUUGAGACUUUACAAUUGGUUUGUUCUCCUUGGAGAUUAGCUGCAAAAGACGCUCAUUUCCGAGCCUUUAUUAACAAUAAUA